CGGGGCGUAGCUCAGCCUGGUUAGAGCGCCUGCUUUGGGAGCAGGAGGCCGAUGGUUCGAAUCCAUUCGCCCCGA
rnacentral:tRNA from 1 species